GGAGUUAGCCGGUGCUUCUUCUGUGAGUGAUGUCCUUCCUGCCGGCUAUUAACCCGCAGGCCUUCUUCCUCACUGAAAGUGCUUUACAACCCGAAGGCCUUCUUCACACACGCGGCAUGGCUGGAUCAGGGUUGCCCCCAUUGUCCAAUAUUCCCCACUGCUGCCUCCCGUAGGAGUCUGGGCCGUGUCUCAGUCCCAGUGUGUCUGAUCAUCCUCUCAGACCAGCUACGGAUCGUCGCCUUGGUGAGCCGUUACCUCACCAACCAGCUAAUCCGACAUAGGCUCAUCCGAUAGCGCGAGGCCCGAAGGUCCCCCGCUUUCCCCCGUAGGGCGUAUGCGGUAUUAGCCUGGGUUUCCCCAGGUUAUCCCCCACUACCGGGCAGAUUCCUAUGCAUUACUCACCCGUCCGCCGCUCGCCACCAGGGAGCAAGCUCCCCGUGCUGCCGCUCGACUUGCAUGUGUUAGGCCUGCCGCCAGCGUUCAAUCUGAGCCAGAAUCAAACUCUGA
rnacentral:rRNA from 1 species